UUAUGGUGAAUGAAGAAGGUGGUUCCAGUCUCACAGCCCUCGGCAAGUAUGUCCGCCCACACAGGGAGAAGCUGGGAGGGAGCAGGCUGGAUUUGAGAGGACACAGGCAAGAAUCACACAGGAGAAAAUCAGUCAUCACUUUGACCAGCAUCACCCCACUCUAUGACUCCCUAAAACUCCAGACCUGAGAAGCACAUCUACUCUUAUCAUGAUGGAGAAGCAGCUUGGCUUGAAGUGAUGUCAAGACCUGAGAGCCCAGAGAGCUUGUCUGUCUUGUUCCCUGUUUAUCCAUGAUGAUGGAGGAGGACCUGGAGCACACUAAACACUAGGUAG
rnacentral:lncRNA from 1 species